UACGGGGGGUGCGAGCGUUGUCCGGAUUCACUGGGCGUAAAGGGCGCGUAGGCGGCUGACUCAGUCUGGUCUAUAAGGUGUGGGCUUACCCCGCACACGGAUUGGGGACGGGUUGGCUGGGGGUCGGUCGAGGGAAGCGGAAUGCCGGGUGUAGUGGUGAAAUGCGUAGAGAUCCGGCGGAACACCGGUGGUGAAGGCGGCUUCCUUGGCCGAACCCGACGCUGGAGGCGCGAGAGCGCGGGGAGCGAACCGG
rnacentral:rRNA from 1 species